rnacentral:rRNA from 1 species
UACAGAGGUCCCAAGCGUUGUUCGGAUUCACUGGGCGUAAAGGGUGCGUAGGUGGCGAGGUAAGUCGGAUGUGAAAGCUCGGAGCUCAACUCCGAAAUGGCAUUGGAAACUACCUUGCUCGAGGGUUGGAGGGGGGACUGGAAUUCUCGGUGUAGCAGUGAAAUGCGUAGAUAUCGAGAGGAACACCAGUGGCGAAGGCGAGUCCCUGGACA